UCCAAAAUGCUUCUUGUAGCCAUUGUAGGAGUGUGUCUCUGAGGAUCCAUCCCAUUGGUCAUCUCCAUAUGACUAACAGAGCUCGAACGGAGUGGUGGUUUCUGUUGAAAUGUACAAAAUUAUUAUUCUUCAGAUCAUAGAGAGAACGAAAUAAGUGAGAGAGAAAAGAGGAAAGAGACUCUGGGAAGUUCUGUAUCAGUCAUUUUCAAUUAAGCAGAUUGAAGUGAAGGAAUCAUUCAAGGAUGAAAAAUAUCAUUCAUUCAACAAACAAUAUCAUAUGGAUGUAAAACUGAUCUCAUAGGCAAACAGAAGGUCCUUGGAGUUUGCCGACUUUGUUA
rnacentral:lncRNA from 1 species